AGCCUCAUUCUAGAUUACAAUGGGCACUGUUGAUUGGUGUCCCAAAUUGGUUAAUGUGGCUAAUAUGAGACACAGGUCAUGCUUCCAUUACAGUAAUGUUUAUAGUGGUAACAAUGAGACCAGUAACAUUU
rnacentral:snoRNA from 1 species